GAGGACCUGUAAGCUACUGGCAAUCA
rnacentral:misc_RNA from 1 species